UACGUAGGGUGCAAGCGUUAAUCGGAAUUACUGGGCGUAAAGCGUGCGCAGGCGGUUGUGCAAGACCGAUGUGAAAUCCCCGGGCUUAACCUGGGAAUGGCAUUGGUGACUGCACGGCUAGAGUGUGUCAGAGGGGGGGGUAGAAUUCCACGUGUAGCAGUGAAAUGCGUAGAGAUGUGGAGGAAUACCGAUGGCGAAGGCAGCCCCCUGGAUAACACUGACGCUCAUGCACGAAAGCGUGGGGAGCAAACAGG
rnacentral:rRNA from 1 species